rnacentral:rRNA from 1 species
UACGUAGGGUGCGAGCGUUAAUCGGAAUUACUGGGCGUAAAGCGUGCGCAGGCGGCGCGUUAAGACAGGUGUGAAAGCCCCGAGCUUAACUUGGGAAUUGCGCUUGUGACUGGCGAGCUGGAGUGUGGCAGAGGGAGGUGGAAUUCCACGUGUAGCAGUGAAAUGCGUAGAGAUGUGGAGGAACACCGAUGGCGAAGGCAGCCUCCUGGGCCAGCACUGACGUUCAGGCACGAAAGCGUGGGGAGCAAACAGG